CAAAUGGACCCUCUCAACUCAAAAUUCAAACGGAUCUUGAUCUGCAUCCGACCGAAGACAAGACAUUGCAGAUUGCAAAAGAAGAUAAGAUAAUUAAGGACAAUUCAGAUAUAACGGCCAUCUUGGUUUCGGUAAAAGGUGUGUUUGAAAAUAUUCUGACAGUGCUCCCACGACCAAGAGAUGGAAGUGUGGGAAAGAAAAACAAUCAGAAGCCUAGCUUGGGAACAGGAAAGCCUAACACUCCCUUGACCAAGAGAAGCGCCAGACUGAGAGGAAAAAAACAUCAAAAUGCUAGGCCUGCAGGAGGAAUCUCUAUGCUCAUAGGAC
rnacentral:lncRNA from 1 species